GGUUAAGCUACUAAGAGCACACGGAGGAUGCCUAGGCGCUAGGAGCCGAAGAAGGACGUGGCGAACAACGAUACUGCCUCGGGGAGCUGUAAGCAAGCUUCGAUCCGGGGAUGUCCGAAUGGGGAAACCCAGCUGAUGUAAUAGUCAGUUACCCGUAUCUGAAUACAUAGGAUGCGAGGAGGCAUACCCAGGGAACUGAAACAUCUAAGUACCUGGAGGAAGAGAAAACAAGAGUGAUUCCGUCAGUAGCGGCGAGCGAACGCGGAACAGCCUAAACCAGAGAGCUUGCUCUCUGGGGUUGUGGGACGUCUCACAUGGAGUUACAAAGGAACAUAUUAGGCGAAGAGGUCUGGAAAGGCCCGCUAUAAGAGGUAAAAGCCCUGUAGCCGAAAGUAUAUUCCCUCCGAGACGGAUCCCGAGUAGUGCGGGGCACGUGAAACCCCGUAUGAAUCCAGCAGGACCAUCUGCUAAGGCUAAAUACUCCCUAGCGACCGAUAGUGAAGCAGUACCGUGAGGGAAAGGUGAAAAGCACCCCGGAAGGGGAGUGAAAUAGAACCUGAAACCGUGUGCUUACAAGAAGUCAGAGCCCUAUUUAUGGGUGAUGGCGUGCCUUUUGUAGAAUGAACCGGCGAGUUACGUUCCCAUGCAAGGUUAAGGCGAGAAGCCGUAGCCGCAGCGAAAGCGAGUCUGAAUAGGGCGACUUAGUAUGUGGGCGUAGACCCGAAACCGUGUGAUCUACCCCUGUCCAGGGUGAAGGUGCGGUAACACGCACUGGAGGCCCGAACCCACGUAUGUUGAAAAAUGCGGGGAUGAGGUGGGGGUAGCGGAGAAAUUCCAAUCGAACUCGGAGAUAGCUGGUUCUCCCCGAAAUAGCUUUAGGGCUAGCCUCGGAAUGAAGAGUCGUGGAGGUAGAGCACUGAUUGGGUGCGGGGCCCGCAAGGGUUACCAAGCUCAGUCAAACUCCGAAUGCCAUAGACUUAUAUCCGGGAGUCAGACAGUGAGUGCUAAGAUCCAUUGUCAAAAGGGAAACAGCCCAGACCAUCAGCUAAGGUCCCCAAGUGUGUGUUAAGUGGGAAAGGAUGUGGAGUUGCACAGACAACCAGGAUGUUGGCUUAGAAGCAGCCACCAUUUAAAGAGUGCGUAAUAGCUCACUGGUCGAGUGACUCUGCGCCGAAAAUGUAACGGGGCUAAACACACCACCGAAGCUAUGGCUUGAUGCGUAUGCAUCAGGGGUAGGGGAGCGUUGUAUGCAGGUUGAAGGUGUACCGUAAGGAGCGCUGGACAGCAUACAAGUGAGAAUGCCGGUAUGAGUAACGAAAAGAUCAGUGAGAAUCUGAUCCGCCGAAAGCCCAAGGUUUCCUGAGGAAGGCUCGUCCGCUCAGGGUAAGUCGGGACCUAAGGUGAGGCCGAAAGGCGUAAUCGAAGGACAACAGGUUGAAAUUCCUGUACCACCGUAAACCGUUAUGAACGAUGGGGUGACGCAGGAGGGUAGUGACGCGGACUGAUGGAUGUCCGUCCAAGCAGUGAGGCUGAUGUGUAGGCAAAUCCGCACAUCGUAAGGCUGGGCUGUGAUGGGGAGUGAAAAUUACAGUAGCGAAGGUCAUGAUCUCACACUGCCAAGAAAAGCCUCUAGUCAGGUGAAGGUGCCCGUACCGCAAACCGACACAGGUAGGCGAGAAGAGAAUUCUAAGGCGCGCGGAAGAACUCUCGUUAAGGAACUCGGCAAAAUGACCCCGUAACUUCGGGAGAAGGGGUGCCUCGGUAGGGUGAAUAGCCCGAGGGGGCCGCAGUGAAAAGGCCCAAGCGACUGUUUAGCAAAAACACAGGUCUGUGCGAAGCCGUAAGGCGAAGUAUACGGGCUGACGCCUGCCCGGUGCUGGAAGGUUAAGGGGAGCGGUUAGGGGUUAAACCCGAAGCUGUGAACCGAAGCCCCAGUAAACGGCGGCCGUAACUAUAACGGUCCUAAGGUAGCGAAAUUCCUUGUCAGGUAAAUUCUGACCCGCACGAAUGGCGUAACGACUUGGGCGCUGUCUCAACGAGAGAUCCGGUGAAAUUUUAAUACCUGUGAAGAUGCAGGUUACCCGCGACAAGACGGAAAGACCCCAUGGAGCUUUACUGCAGCUUGAUAUUGGAUUUGGGUACGAUCUGUACAGGAUAGGUGGGAGCCUAAGAAGCAUGAGCGCCAGCUUGUGUGGAGGCGACGUUGGGAUACCACCCUGAUCGUAUCUAGGUUCUAACCUGGUACCGUAAUCCGGUACGGGGACAGUGUCAGGCGGGCAGUUUGACUGGGGCGGUCGCCUCCUAAAGAGUAACGGAGGCGCCCCAAGGUUCCCUCAGAAUGGUUGGAAAUCAUUCGAAGAGUGCAAAGGCAUAAGGGAGCUUGACUGCGAGACCUACAAGUCGAGCAGGGACGAAAGUCGGGCUUAGUGAUCCGGUGGUACCGCAUGGAAGGGCCAUCGCUCAACGGAUAAAAGCUACCCUGGGGAUAACAGGCUUAUCUCCCCCAAGAGUCCACAUCGACGGGGAGGUUUGGCACCUCGAUGUCGGCUCAUCGCAUCCUGGGGCUGAAGUAGGUCCCAAGGGUUGGGCUGUUCGCCCAUUAAAGCGGUACGCGAGCUGGGUUCAGAACGUCGUGAGACAGUUCGGUCCCUAUCUGUCGUGGGCGUAGGAAAUUUGAGAGGAGCUGUCCUUAGUACGAGAGGACCGGGAUGGACGUACCGCUGGUGCACCAGUUGUUCCGCCAGGAGCAUGGCUGGGUAGCUACGUACGGACGGGAUAAGCGCUGAAAGCAUCUAAGCGUGAAGCCCCCCUCAAGAUGAGAUUUCCCAGUAUGUAAGACCCCUUGAAGACGACGAGGUAGAUAGGUUGGAGGUGGAAGUGCAGCAAUGCAUGGAGCUGACCAAUACUAAUCGGUCGAGGGCUUAUCCAA
rnacentral:rRNA from 1 species